UGGCUCAGGACGAACGCUGGCGGCGUGCUUAACACAUGCAAGUCGAACGGAAAGGCCCUGCUUUUGUGGGGUGCUCGAGUGGCGAACGGGUGAGUAACACGUGAGUAACCUGCCCUUGACUUUGGGAUAACUUCAGGAAACUGGGGCUAAUACCGGAUAGGAGCUCCUGCUGCAUGGUGGGGGUUGGAAAGUUUCGGCGGUUGGGGAUGGACUCGCGGCUUAUCAGCUUGUUGGUGGGGUAGUGGCUUACCAAGGCUUUGACGGGUAGCCGGCCUGAGAGGGUGACCGGCCACAUUGGGACUGAGAUACGGCCCAGACUCCUACGGGAGGCAGCAGUGGGGAAUAUUGCACAAUGGGCGGAAGCCUGAUGCAGCAACGCCGCGUGCGGGAUGACGGCCUUCGGGUUGUAAACCGCUUUCGCCUGUGACGAAGCGUGAGUGACGGUAAUGGGUAAAGAAGCACCGGCUAACUACGUGCCAGCAGCCGCGGUGAUACGUAGGGUGCGAGCGUUGUCCGGAUUUAUUGGGCGUAAAGGGCUCGUAGGUGGUUGAUCGCGUCGGAAGUGUAAUCUUGGGGCUUAACCCUGAGCGUGCUUUCGAUACGGGUUGACUUGAGGAAGGUAGGGGAGAAUGGAAUUCCUGGUGGAGCGGUGGAAUGCGCAGAUAUCAGGAGGAACACCAGUGGCGAAGGCGGUUCUCUGGGCCUUUCCUGACGCUGAGGAGCGAAAGCGUGGGGAGCGAACAGGCUUAGAUACCCUGGUAGUCCACGCUGUAAACGGUGGGUACUAGGUGUGGGGUCCAUUCCACGGGUUCCGUGCCGUAGCUAACGCUUUAAGUACCCCGCCUGGGGAGUACGGCCGCAAGGCUAAAACUCAAAGGAAUUGACGGGGCCCCGCACAAGCGGCGGAGCAUGCGGAUUAAUUCGAUGCAACGCGUAGAACCUUACCUGGGUUUGACAUGGAUCGGGAGUGCUCAGAGAUGGGUGUGCCUCUUUUGGGGUCGGUUCACAGGUGGUGCAUGGCUGUCGUCAGCUCGUGUCGUGAGAUGUUGGGUUAAGUCCCGCAACGAGCGCAACCCUUGUUCACUGUUGCCAGCACGUUAUGGUGGGGACUCAGUGGAGACCGCCGGGGUCAACUCGGAGGAAGGUGGGGAUGACGUCAAGUCAUCAUGCCCCUUAUGUCCAGGGCUUCACGCAUGCUACAAUGGCUGGUACAGAGAGUGGCGAGCCUGUGAGGGUGAGCGAAUCUCGGAAAGCCGGUCUCAGUUCGGAUUGGGGUCUGCAACUCGACCUCAUGAAGUCGGAGUCGCUAGUAAUCGCAGAUCAGCAACGCUGCGGUGAAUACGUUCCCGGGGCUUGUACACACCGCCCGUCAAGUCAUGAAAGUUGGUAACACCCGAAGCCGGUGGCCUAACCGUUGUGGGGGAGCCGUCGAAGGUGGGACUGGUGAUUAGGACUAAGUCGUAACAAGGU
rnacentral:rRNA from 1 species